AGAGCGAACGCUGGCGGCAGGCCUAACACAUGCAAGUCGAGCGCCCGUAGCAAUACGGGAGCGGCAGACGGGAUAGUAACACGUGGGAACGCGCCCUUCGGUUCGGAAUAACUCAGGGAAACUUGAGCUAAUACCGGAUACGCCCUUACGGGGAAAGAUUUAUUGCCGAAGGAACGGCCCGCGUCCGAUUAGCUAGUUGGUGAGGUAAUGGCUCACCAAGGCGACGAUCGGUAGCUGGUCUGAGAGGAUGACCAGCAUCACUGGGACUGAGACACGGCCCAGACUCCUACGGGAGGCAGCAGUGGGGAAUAUUGGACAAUGGGCACAAGCCUGAUCCAGCCAUGCCGCGUGGAUGAUGAAGGCCUUAGGGUUGUAAAGUCCUUUUAACGGGGAAGAUAAUGACGGUACCCGUAGAAUAAGCCCCGGCUAACUUCGUGCCAGCAGCCGC
rnacentral:rRNA from 1 species